rnacentral:lncRNA from 1 species
UGGUGAUCGUUGGCGGAGAACUUCGUUGCCACAGACAGACCUAGAUUACAGAUGUGCGUCUGGAUUUUAAAAAGAGUAUCAUCACCAUUGUCAUCAUCAUCGUCAUCAUCAUCAUCAUCAUCUAUGUGGGGGGCUUUCUCGACAGAUUCUGAACAACAGUUUUCAACUUAGAGCUUUGAAGAUGAUAGAAGUCCAGAAUAUUCAAAGCUAAUCUGUAUAUUAGAAUGAGCAAUAGGAAGAUCCGUGUCUGGUGGGCAAAAAGGCCCAAAGAAAAUUAAAGAAUACACCAUGCAGAGCUGCUGGUAGGUAACCACGGGGCA